rnacentral:misc_RNA from 1 species
CGGCAGCCGACGUGCACGUCGCUACUCUCUCGUUUCCCUUUCCUCUCCCACCCACGCGCUGAGGGGCAGCUCGCUUUCAUCUGUUGUACUCCAUAUACAAACAUACACUAUAUAUAUAUAUAUAUAUAUGCGCUGCUUGCGCGAGCCGCAACAAGAAAAUGGCGGUCCCUCAUGGCAUGCUGAUUUCUCGCAACGACAUCACCCCAGACAGUCUAGUGGACUUGCCGGGAGAUCGUAAGAUUGUGGAGCAGAUCUCCAACACGAUGGCUAACUCCUCCCUGUUUAAGAUGGAGAAGGAGGACCACACACUGGCGAACCUGCUGCGCAUGAAGCUGCACGAGUCGCCAUUUGUGCAGAUUGCGGGCUACCGAGUACCGCAUCCAACAAAGCAUAACGUGGAGCUGCGCGUGCAAACGGCGUCGAACGGGACGGACGCGCCAGUCCCUGCCCCGAAAAAGGCGCUGCAAGACGCGAUCGACGGCUGCUUGAAGGAUUUAGAGGUGUUUGAGGAGCAGCUGCGGCGCGAGGCACAGCUGAAGGGUCUCGAGGCGUCCCCAUCAUGAGCAGAUGGGAAUAAAAGAGUAAACGUGUGCCCCGGGGACAGGAUCGCUGCGAGGUGUGGAUACACGCUCAUGUCUGUCAGCGUGCGCUGGCCCCUCGACAUCCGGACCAUCCGUCGGCGUCUUUUUCUAUGUUGACUGCGUGUAUAGGGAAGUGGUUUGCAGAUGCGCUCGCGCCAUCAACGCUUCUGUGUCUUGUCAAACGUGUGGUUUGUGAUGCGGCUCGAUCUUUGCUGGGCCACAGGUAUGCGUGUCUGUGCCCACCUGUGUGUGGGCCUAGUUUUCCGUUAGCCUCCUCUCCCUCUCCCGGCGCGCGGGCUUUCCCUUCUAAAGCUGCGUGAAGGGAUCGGCUUGUAGAGAGGGCCGCACCAGCUGCCACGCAUGCGCAUCUGCCACAACGUACAAAC